CCCCCUGAACUUAAGCAUAUCAAUAAGCGGAGGAAAAAACCAACAGAGAUUGCGUCAGUAACGCCGAGUGAAGCGGCAAAAGCUCAAAUUUGAAAUUUUCAGGGAAUUGUAAUUUGAAGGUGGUCUCAGUUAGUCCAAACAUUCUUAAGUCCAUUGGAAAAUGGCGCCAUGGAGGGUGAUAGCCCCGCAAAGAAUCCGUUUUGUUCUAUUUUCUUUGACCACCAAAGAGUCGAGUUGUUUGGGAAUGCAGCUUUAAGUGGGUCGUAAAUUCCAUCUAAAGCUUAAUAUUGGUGAGAGACCGAUAGCGAACAAUUACAGUGAUGGAUAGAAAAAAAGCACUUAGAAAAGAGAGUGAAAAAGUACGUGAAAUUGUUGAAAGGGAAGGGCUUGCAAGCAGACACAACCUUCUGGUUGGGCCAUCAUCAGGGCGAGGGGAAGGAAAAAAGAAUAGGAAAUGUAGCUCUCGAGCAUUAUAGACCUUUUAUACAACUUCCAUCUCAUCCCGAGGCCUGCGGAUUUCUAUCCAAGGAUGCUGGCGUAUAUAAUGGUCGGUUCUUAUAAUGACACUGUUAAUUUUAAAAUUUAA
rnacentral:ncRNA from 1 species